UGAUAUUAAACAGACACCAGAGCUCUUAGUUAUUAAAACAUGAUUACGUUACCCACUUUGAGACAUGAUGUCAAAGACACAAUUGGAUUCGCAUUCUUCAAAGCGAAACGGUUACGGGCGUUGGGCCGUGUAGGGCCCAUUUUAGGGGAAGCUGCAAGGAUUGAUAGCAUGCGUAAAAAAUGAUAUUAAUUAUUUGAGUAUACUCUGCACGUUUAAAAAAAUCAUCCAAAACCUCUUGCUCUUUUUUGCCUCUCUUCUGCUGCUGCUGACAACAUCAGAAGAUCUCCCAUUUUUGGCGUUUUGAUAAAACAGUUGGCAUUUUAAAUAAAUUAAAACCCUCAUUUAA